UGGCUCAGUGGUAGAGUGCUUGCUUUGCAUGCAUGAGGUCCUGGGUUCGAUUCCUCAG
rfam:Dipodomys ordii contig_41990, whole genome shotgun sequence.